GGGCACCACCAGGAGUGGAGCCUGCGGCUUAAUUUGACUCAACACGGGGAAACUCACCCGGUCCGGACACUGGAAGGAUUGACAGAUUAAAAGCUCUUUCUUGAUUCAGUGGGUGGUGGUGCAUGGCCGUUCUUAGUUGGUGGAGUGAUUUGUCUGGUUAAUUCCGAUAACGAACGAGACUCUAGCCUGCUAACUAGUUCGCCGGCAGCUCUUGUCGCGCGGCGCCGCUUCGGCGGCAAACUUCUUAGAGGGACAGGUGGCGUUUAGCCACACGAAGUAGAGCAAUAACAGGUCUGUGAUGCCCUUAGAUGUCCGGGGCCGCACGCGCGCUACACUGAAAGAAUCAACGUGGAUGCCCACCUGCUCCGAGAGGAGUGGGAAACCCGAUGAAUCUCUUUCGUGAUGGGGAUUGGGGCUUGUAAUUGUUCCCCAUGAACGAGGAAUUCCCAGUAAGCGUCAGUCAUCAGCUGGCGCUGAUUACGUCCCUGCCCUUUGUACACACCGCCCGUCGCUACUACCGAUUGAAUGGUUUAGUGAGACCCUCGGACUGGAGUCCGUCCGCCGCUUUCGGGUGGUGGAUGGGGACGGAAAGACGGUCGAACUUGAUCAUUUA
rnacentral:rRNA from 1 species